UCCAACCAGUGAAUCCUCUGCCAAUCACGAGAAUGGGGGCCCUGUGUUUUCCUGUUUGAAUGACUGUCACACAUGUGCAGUGCUGCUACAUUCAGCUCUAAUAAUAAUCUGCACUCUGCAGAUCAGAGCCUGAAAUCAGGUACUAUAUGAUCCGUCCCCCUAAUCUGUGCCCCCAAUAUGUGAGCCCCCUGCCCGGAUCUGUGCACCCUUCUGUGCGCCACCACAACUCUGCCCUUGAAGACAAGGACUGCUGAGAAAACAGUUGCAGCUUCUUCUGUAGUGGCUGCGGGAAAAUACAGUGUCUCUUGUCGGAAAAAGAAUAAGAAGCUCAGCACCAGGCCCCUGUCCCCCAUGCCCCAUAGUUUCAUGGUCUGCCUCCUUCGAAGGAUCUCAUGACAAGAUAAAAGCCUGGUCAGCCUGAAAAUCUCAAUCUCUUUUUACUCCAGUGACACAGAAGUUUUAAGGCAAUAGAGACCUGUUUGAUGGCACGGAAUACCACCACACAGCCUUGUGAACGAGGGAUGAAUUACUUGGAAACCAUCCAGUCAUUUUCAACCACUUUGAAGGUUGAUUAGAGCAGAAAACAUGAA